UUUCACAUGAUUUCGAAGAUGUGGAUAUCUCCUACUUGUGUAAGAUAUUUAAGUCAGUCAUGCACUAUUUUAGAUCAAAUCAAUGCAAUAGAUAUGUGUAUAUAUAUCAGCGACUGAAAUAGCGUUGGUGACGAGAUUGCUGCUGCAUCAAGCCUCCGACUAUUCUAUUUGAGAGAGUCGGCCAUGCUUGACUACAGUGUAUAAGAGUAAUUCUGGGAUUAUAACCCGCUGGGAAGGUGCCCGUCUCAUGUGUAAUGCGCCCUGACACGUUUAGACGGCAACAUCUGCAGCGUGGUUUGGACAUGUGUAUGGUAUAUCUACACAGGCCCGAUACACUGUGUAUUAAGAUACGUUUCCUGAUAGCCCCGGGACUCCAAAUGUACAAAACGAUACGUCCAUGGAACGGAUAGACAGUAGAAAGCAUAUGUUACGACGUGUCGGUAUCGACGUUCGUUCGGAAACAUAAUUCUCUAGGUUCGUGCACAGAAGAGACGACAUUCAGAAGUACAUGUCAUUCAUUGAUGCAGGCAAGACGUAAACCAUGGAUCUGGACUUUAAUAUCAAAUCGUUCGUUUGGUUUUCUGUGAGUUCAUUUUGUACAAUGGUUUGCUUGUGGGUUAUAUACUCCCACGUUUGUUGACGCCCGUAAGUACUAUCCGACGAAAAUGGUGCAAGUCCGGAUGUUAUCGGUACAAACCGAUUGUGAUCGGUGCUAUCACUGUUUUCGCGUUUGUUGUGGUGACAGAAAUUAUUUCUCUCCGAUCUGUGACUUCAGAAGCCUCUCUGCCACGAGAUACGAGGAAAGCCAGGAGUUUAAUGGAGAAGGUUGUUCAAAGGGCAACAACUCGUGUUAAGUCACAACAUACUCCCAUUUUCCUCGCGUUUGUUAUGAAUGACACCCUUCCAUUCGUCUAUAACUGGAUAUGCAAUGUGCGGGAUUUAAUUUCCUACGAAAAUGUGCUUUUUAUUACAUUGUACGAUCAGGAUAGAGAGGAUAUAGAAAGUUUUGAAUCUUCAGUCAAUGUUUUUUCUCUUGAAAAAGAAUUUGAUCACUUGAGCUUAGCGAAACGAAUUAACCAUAUUCAAGUACUGAAGUGGCAAGUUGAUCUGAUAUUUAACCUAUUGAAAAGAAAUAUUAAUGUGUUCGUGUUUCGAGUUGAAUCUGUUUGGUUACAAAAUCCUAUGACGUUAUUUGAAAAGUUGUUAUGUGCUGAUAAAAGUUUAGACAUUAUAACGACCACAUUUUCAGGCAACCCUUCCGUUCUGGACACUGGACUAUUCCUUAUCAAGUCAACUGCGGAGUCUAUCACCCUAAUAGCCGAGUAUGCAGCUCGUCUCCGUAAUAUACUUUUCCGCAUGAACACUCGAAUAAGUCGAAUAACAUCCUCUGAAGACCCUUUUCAGUACUUUCCUCAACUAGUAUAUCGUCGAUUCGGAAAUAUCAAAUAUAGUCUACUUCCGGUAAAACAUUUCGCAGACGUCCCUUGGUACAUGAAGUUAACUUCAUCUAAACGUAAACAUGACAAAAAUGAUAUUUUCUUAAUUAGAAGCUACUAUCCCAGCGAUGAGCGAACACAGGAUAUAAUUACCGCAAUGAAGGAUAUUGAUUUGUGGUUUCUAGGCGACGGGAACACGUGUAUUUUGGAGCGUGUGGCCUCGUUACAGAACGAUGUGAUGUGAUAUGCAUGCGUCUUAUUUUACAAUCAUCUGUUGCACACGUUGUCAUUUAAUUAAGUAUAUUGGAAUAUUUGCUCAUUGCUAAUGCUGUAUGUGUGAAAUUUCAAUAUAAAUGUGAUAGAUAAAUACCAGGUGGUUUAAUAUUGACUAGACACAUCUUACGCUAUAUUCAUUCCCCAAGCACCUUACAAAAUAAAGGCACAACAAUCUCGCUUUGUGUCUUCUCCAUAUAUUGCUGAUUCCAAUUCCUCUAGUUCCAUUCUACUUUGGUUUCCCCGCUAAUUGCGAUGACAUUCGACGGCGGAAGUUGGGGCGUUUUACGUUAGUUGUCGUGACGUUUUACGUUUAAAUCAGCUGUUGUAACUUUUUACGUCAGCUGUUGUGACGUUUUACUUUAGCUGAUGUGACGUUUUACAUCAGCUGUUGUGACGUUUUGCAUCAGCUGUUGUGACGUUUUACAUCAGCUGUUGUGACGUUUUACUUCAGCUGAUGUAGAGUUUUGCAUCAGCUGUUGUGACGAUUUACAUCAGUUGUUGUCACGUUUAACCCUCAGCUGUGGUGACGUUUUACGUCAACCGAUGUGACGUUUAACAUCAGUAGUUGUGACGUUUUACAUAAGUUGUUAUGACGUUUUACAUCAGCUGUGGUGGCGUUUAACGACAGCUGUUGUGACGUUUAACAUGAGCUAUUGUAACUUUGUACGUCAGAUGUUGUGACGUACAUCAGCUGUUCGUGCUGGAAAGACUAUCUUUAUGUUCCACUAGUGACGGCGAUAUCUGCUAGUGUCAACUCUGCUGAGAUUUCAUUCAUUUAAAUGUGUUUCCCCUUACAAUUUCAUGACUAAAUGUUUUGAUCAAGUAAUGUGAUAAGCGUUUAGCGAUACAUACAUACAUUCCCCAAAUGACAUUCAUUGCCACUACCCUGUAUCUCAUUUUGGGGACGUGACUUCAGUUGGAUUUGACCUGGAUAUACAAAACAAGUGUCAUCGAUGAAACAGCGAACACUUACCCUUCCGGAACACGUGGUCUUUUUUACCCUUCGUACAUUUUCUAGUGUCUCCGUACAAAUUUAGUCCUUGUUUUCGGACUAAUCUGUGGGUGUUUUUAUUCUUUUACUUUAGCCUAAUACUACGCAUUCCGGGCUUGCUCACUGUGAUAUAUAUAAGUCAAGUAGCAUAAUGGUUAAAGCUAAAGUAAGAGCAGUUUUUAAGAAAUGUUCAAGAACACCUUCUGGUUUUUUAAGGACAUGCUUUUCUUUAAAUUCAAAUAUACCGAGCUCUAGACAACGAAAGCUUAGUCUUGCUAUUUCUAGGGAAAUAAAGUCGAACGAACGAGAUACGAAGUAGUAUGAACGAGAAAAUAGUCUUGCGAACGCGAUAAAGUAUAGUACGAUCGAGUUGAAAAGUCGUCGUUUAUAGACCCGUUUCCUCGUUUGUACCAAUCAAUUCCUUAAAGGGCACGAAUAAGCUUUCGUUCUAGCCAUGGUAGAUAAUGUGUCAUGAACGUGUAAUAUGUCGAGCGUUCGAUAUAUGUCGAGCUCUUAAGUUAAUAUGUCAUGCACUCGAGAUUUCUCGAGCUCUCAAGUUAAUAUGUCGAGCGCUCCUGAUCUGUAGUGGAAAAUAUAGAUAUCUGUAUUCGUUCACUUGAGGUAUGUGUUAACUAUGACUCGAGCACAUUUGGACCACUUUAAACGCCAAUAAUUAGACAGAAAAACAAUAAGAUGGACCAGUUAAGAGUACUUGUACAUGUUUGUGUAAACAUGUUCGAUAUGAAAGACAAAUAAAUCAUUAUACAAAAA